GUCAUUUAAAACCAAGCGAAAAGUAUUGAUCUAUUUAUAUGCUCAUAUGUACUGAUAAUUUUAAAAGUAUUUGUUUUGCUUUCCAUACUUAGUUCCUUAUUGUUAAUUUUCCUUUUUUGGAUGGUGAUGUUCCUUUGGCACUAUCUUACGGUGUUUGUAUAUCACAACACCUCCGAUAUGCCCGUGUCUGUUGUAACGUUUUGGAUUUUAAUGAACGAAAUCUAUGUAUUACUGGUAAAUUAUCAAGUCAGGGAUUUCGUUAACACAAAUCAUUUAAAAUCUUUACUAAAUUUUAGAUUUGGUUUUGAAGUUUGGUUCUACCUGUAGAAAACUUAUUUCAAACGGGAUAGCACAUCCUCAUUUUUACGGAGAUGUUGUUUACCGUGCCAUUGGAU
rnacentral:lncRNA from 1 species